rnacentral:rRNA from 1 species
GAUGAACGCUGGCGGCGUGCCUAAUACAUGCGAGUCGAGCGAACAGAUGAGGAGCUUGCUCCUCUGACGUUAGCGGCGGACGGGUGAGUAACACGUGGAUAACCUACCUAUAAGACUGGGAUAACUUCGGGAAACCGGAGCUAAUACCGGAUAAUAUAUUGAACCGCAUGGUUCAAUAGUGAAAGACGGUUUUGCUGUCACUUAUAGAUGGAUCCGCGCCGCAUUAGCUAGUUGGUAAGGUAACGGCUUACCAAGGCAACGAUGCGUAGCCGACCUGAGAGGGUGAUCGGCCACACUGGAACUGAGACACGGUCCAGACUCCUACGGGAGGCAGCAGUAGGGAAUCUUCCGCAAUGGGCGAAAGCUUGACGGAGCAACGCCGCGUGAGUGAUGAAGGUCUUCGGAUCGUAAAACUCUGUUAUUAGGGAAGAACAGAUGUGUAAGUAACUGUGCACGUCUUGACGGUACCUAAUCAGAAAGCCACGGCUAACUACGUG